GAGAGGGGCGCUUUAGUCCCGUUGCAGAGGAGCUAGUGUGCAAUUGCAUCAUGAAGUACGUGAAAAGGCUCGACCAGAGGAUGAAGGGGAGGAAGGAGCAGGUGACGAGGAGCAAAUACGGACGCAUCAGCAAGAAGAACAA